rnacentral:rRNA from 1 species
CUUGGUCAUUUAGAGGAGUAAAAGUCGUAACAAGGUUUCCGUAGGUGAACCUGCGGAAGGAUCAUUAAAAACGAUCACCGGUGUAUCCCAGCGACGUCGUUGACUCGACCCUGUGGGGCUGUCUUAAACUCACAGCAUUGCCAGUCGCGCGGAAUACUGAUGCCCUAGCCUUCAGGCUAGGGGCCGAGUGAAUCCCACCCGUGUCUACAUACUCUUGUUGCUUUGGCGGGCCGUGGCCUCCACUGUGGGCUCUGCCUGCAUGUGCCCGCCAGAGGAUCCAACUCUGAAUUUUAGUAAUGUCUGAGUACUAUAUAAUAGUUAAAACUUUCAACAACGGAUCUCUUGGUUCUGGCAUCGAUGAAGAACGCAGCGAAAUGCGAUAAGUAAUGUGAAUUGCAGAAUUCAGUGAAUCAUCGAAUCUUUGAACGCACAUUGCGCCCUGUGGUAUUCCGCAGGGCAUGCCUGUUCGAGCGUCAUUACAACCACUCAAGCCUGGCUUGGUAUUGGGGUGUGCGGUUCCGCAGCCCCUAAAAUCAGUGGCGGUGCCGGUGUGGCUCUACGCGUAGUAAUUCUUCUCGCGAUGGAGUUCCCCCGGAUACCUGCCAGAACCCCCCAAUUUUACAGGUUGACCUCGGAUCAGGUAGGGAUACCCGCUGAACUUAAGCAUAUCAAUAAGCGGAGGA